rnacentral:rRNA from 1 species
UACGUAGGGGGCUAGCGUUGUCCGGAAUCAUUGGGCGUAAAGCGCGUGUAGGCGGUCCGGUAAGUCCGCUGUGAAAGUCGGGGGCUCAACCCUCGAAUGCCGGUGGAUACUGUCGGGCUAGAGUGCGGAAGAGGCGAGUGGAAUUCCUGGGUGAUAGCGGUGAAAUGACGCAGAUAUCAGGAGGAACACCAAUUGCGAAGGCAGCUCGCUGGGACGUUACUGACGCUGAGACGCGAAAGCGUGGGGAGCAAACAGG